rnacentral:miRNA from 1 species
UGCACUGUCUCUUCCCUGGCU